AGUGAACGCUGGCGGCGUGCUUAACACAUGCAAGUCGAACGAGAACGGAUUAUAGCUUGCUAUAAUUGUCAGCUAAGUGGCGCACGGGUGAGUAAUGUAUAGGUAAUAUGCCUCUUACUAAGGGAUAACAAAUGGAAACGUUUGCUAAUACCUUAUACUCCUUAUUAACAGAAGUUAAUAAGGGAAAGAUUUAUUGGUAAGGGAUUAGCCUGUAUUGUAUCAGUUAGUUGGUGGGGUAAUGGCCUACCAAGACUAUGACACAUAACUGGUUUGAGAGGAUGAUCAGUCACACUGGAACUGAGACACGGUCCAGACUCCUACGGGAGGCAGCAGUGGGGAAUAUUGCACAAUGGACGAAAGUCUGAUGCAGCAACACCGCGUGGAGGAUGACACAUUUCGGUGCGUAAACUCCUUUUAUAUGAGAAGAUAAUGACGGUAUUAUAUGAAUAAGCACCGGCUAACUCCGUGCCAGCCGCCGCGGUAA
rnacentral:rRNA from 1 species